AUGGCAUCCUCCAAGCCUCUCGCCCCCAUCGUGCUCUUCCUCCUCGUCGCUCUCCUUAUGGUUGCCGACGCGCAGCCGGCACCCAAGAUAGACUGUCCAUCGGCGUGCCAGGCAUGCGCGAAGAACUGGAAGAACAAGAUGUGCAACAAGGAUUGCAACAUCUGCUGUGACAAGUGCAACUGUGUUCCCUCCGGCACCAGCCAGGCAACCCGUAACGAAUGCCCCUGCUACGCCAACUUAAAGAACUCCAAGAACGGCAAGCUCAAGUGCCCCUAG
rnacentral:rRNA from 1 species